UACGUAGGGGGCGAGCGUUGUCCGGAUUUAUUGGGCGUAAAGAGCGUGUAGGCGGCCAGGUAGGUCUGCUGUGAAAACUCGAGGCUCAACCUCGAGACGUCGGCGGAAACCAUCUGGCUAGAGUCCGGAAGAGGAGAGUGGAAUUCCUGGUGUAGCGGUGAAAUGCGCAGAUAUCAGGAAGAACACCGGUGGCGAAGGCGGGUCUCUGGGCCGAUAUUGACGCUGAGGAGCGAAAGCGUGGGGAGCGAACAGG
rnacentral:rRNA from 1 species